AGUGAACGCUGGCGGUAGGCCUAACACAUGCAAGUCGAACGGCAGCACAGUAAGAGCUUGCUCUUACGGGUGGCGAGUGGCGGACGGGUGAGGAAUACAUCGGAAUCUACUUUUUCGUGGGGGAUAACGUAGGGAAACUUACGCUAAUACCGCAUACGACCUACGUGUGAAAGCAGGGGAUCUUCGGACCUUGCGCGAUUGAAUGAGCCGAUGUCGGAUUAGCUAGUUGGCGGGGUAAAGGCCCACCAAGGCGACGAUCCGUAGCUGGUCUGAGAGGAUGAUCAGCCACACGGGAAGUGAGACAGGGUCCAGACUCCUACGGGAGGCAGCAGUGGGGAAUAUUAGACAAUGGGCGCAAGCCUGAUCCAGCCAUACCGCGUGGGUGAAGAAGGCCUUCGGGUUGUAAAGCCCUUUUGUUGGGAAAGAAAAGCAGCAGGUUAAUACCCCGCUGUUCUGACGGUACCCAAAGAAUAAGCACCGGCUAACUUCGUG
rnacentral:rRNA from 1 species